GUGGCCUAGUGGUUAGAGUGUCCGCCUCAGAUUCGGAAGAUUGUAGGUUCGAUCCCUGGUCAAGUCA